UGGGGAAUCUUGCGCAAUGGGCGAAAGCCUGACGCAGCGACGCCGCGUGUGGGAUGAAGGUCUUCGGAUUGUAAACCACUGUCGGGAGGGACGAAGCUCUGACGGUACCUCCAAAGGAAGCACCGGCUAACUCUGUGCCAGCAGCCGCGGUAAUACAGAGGGUGCGAGCGUUGUCCGGAAUCACUGGGCGUAAAGGGCGCGUAGGCGGCCUGGUAAGUAGGGGGUGAAAUCUCAUGGCUCAACUGUGAGGCUGCCUUCUAGACUGCUGGGCUUGAGCACGGUAGAGGCUGGUGGAAUUCCCGGUGUAGCGGUGGAAUGCGUAGAGAUCGGGAGGAACAUCGGUGGCGAAGGCGGCCAGCUGGGCCGUUGCUGACGCUGAGGCGCGAAAGCGUGGGGAGCAAACAGGAUUAGAUACCCAUGUAGUCCCUGAGCGGGCUGGCAAGGCGCAU
rnacentral:rRNA from 1 species